AAGCCAGGGGCCUCGAGGGCUUGAAUACAAGUGCUCGAUCAUAGACGAGUCAGCGGAAGCAACAAUAUCUGAGUACAGACAUAAGUUAAACAAGUUUGCCUUAAGAAGACUAGCACAAACUGGGAUAUAGAUCGAAAGAGGCGCAGGCCUCCUGCCUGGGAUCCUCCUAACUACUCCUGGUCGUCCUCAGCGGGCCGCACGUAGUAGUAG
rnacentral:rRNA from 1 species